GCCUUGCAGUUUGCAAGUUAUUCUAAAGUUCAAAUGAAAUACACUAAUCGUUCACUAUAUCGAUUAUCGAUUGAUCGAUAAAUAAAAUCUAUAAGGAGUCGUAGCCACUGCACUAGUGCUAUUUAUAAAGUCCGCAUUACGUUCGAAUGAAACAUAACAGAGUAAUCAAAGCAAACCAGUUGAGAAAUAGCUGCGCACGCGUCAGAUGCGCACACGAGGACAAACGAACCAAAUAAAUAACAGAAGACACUGCAACAAUACUGCUAUACUUUAAACUAAUUUAAGUAAAGUCAGCCGAGUCGAGUCAGCCAAAUUAAGUCAGCCAAACAGAGUCAGCCGAGGAGAGUUAACUAAAUAGCGACACCGAAAUGUCAUCCAACGAGCCCGCACCAGUUGUUGAGGAAGUGGUCCAGGUUAAAAAGGUUGGGGAGGCGCAGACUGUAUUCUGUCAGUCGAGAUGUCCAACAGGCAUGAUUAACGUUGGCGGUGCGUGUCUAGAAACGGUGCCUGAUGACGAAUUCGACUUUGUCGAAUGCGACAAGACAGAGGACGCCCAGUAAACAAUAACGAUUUGUAUGCCUUUUAUAUAUUCCAUACAUAUUAUUGCAUUUAGACAUGUAAUGAGUAAAUGUUUUAUGAGAUUAAUUAAUGACAAUAUGAAAUAUAUAACAAUAUGUAAAAGC